rnacentral:snRNA from 1 species
GGGAAAAGUCAAAGCUUAAGAG